GAUGAAGAACGCAGCGAAAUGCGAUAAGUAGUGUGAAUUGCAGAAUUCAGUGAAUCAUCGAAUCUUUGAACGCACAUUGCGCCCCUUGGUAUCCCGAGGGGCAUGCCUGUUCGAGCGUCAUUUCACCACUCAAGCCUGGCUUGGUGUUGGGCGACGUCCCCUUUGGGGACGCGCCUCGAAACGCUCGGCGGCGUGGCACCGGCUUUAAGCGUAGCAGAAUCUUUCGCUUUGGAAGUCGGGGCCCCGUCUGCGGGAAGACCUACUCGCAAGGUUGACCUCGGAUCAGGCAGGGAUACCCGCUGAACUUAAGCAUAUCAAUAAGCGGAGGA
rnacentral:misc_RNA from 1 species